rnacentral:rRNA from 1 species
ACGCCAGYGGAAUAAGGGGACCCCGAGUGCGAGGGCAUACUAGCCCUCGCUUUUCACGACCGUAGGAGGUCGUGGAACAAGAGCUGGGCAAGACCGGUGCCAGCCGCCGCGGUAAUACCGGCAGCUCGAGUGAUGGCCGCUGUUAUUGGGCCUAAAGCGUCCGUAGCUGGCCACGCAAGUCCGUCGGGAAAUCCAACGGCUCAACCGUUGGGCGUCCGGCGGAAACUGCGUGGCUUGGGACCGGAAGGCUCGAGAGGUACGUCCGGGGUAGGAGUGAAAUCCCGUAAUCCUGGACGGACCACCGAUGGCGAAAGCACCUCGAGAAGACGGAUCCGACAGUGAGGGACGAAAGCUGGGGUCUCGAACCGGAUUAGAUACCCGGGUAGUCCCAGCCGUAAACGAUGCCAGUUAGGUGUGGCAGAGGCUACGAGCCUCUGCUGUGCCGUAGGGAAGCCGAGAAACUGGCCGCCUGGGAAGUACGUCCGCAAGGAUGAAACUUAAAGGAAUUGGCGGGGGAGCACUACAACCGGAGGAGCCUGCGGUUUAAUUGGACUCAACGCCGGACAUCUCACCAGCUCCGACUACAGUGAUGACGGUCAGGUUGAUGACCUUACCACGACGCUGUAGAGAGGAGGUGCAUGGCCGCCGUCAGCUCGUACCGUGAGGCGUCCUGUUAAGUCAGGCAACGAGCGAGACCCGCACGCUUAAUUGCCAGCAUCAGGUUUCCUGGAUGGGUACAUUAAGCGGACUGCCGCUGCUAAAGCGGAGGAAGGAACGGGCAACGGUAGGUCAGUAUGCCCCGAAUGAGCUGGGCUACACGCGGGCUACAAUGGCCAGGACAGUGGGUUCCAACCUCGAGAGAGGACGGUAAUCUCCGAAACCUGGUCGUAGUUCGGAUUGCGGGCUGAAACUCGCCCGCAUGAAGCUGGAUUCGGUAGUAAUCGCGUUUCAGCAGAGCGCGGUGAAUACGUCCCUGCUCCU